ACAUAGAGAGGAAGUGUGAGGUUGUUUUGUUGAUCAGAUAGUUUCCAUAGAGUAAAUAUCAUAAUUAGAUAA
rfam:Hymenolepis nana genome assembly, scaffold: HNAJ_scaffold0000724